UCUGAACCCAUGCUGUGUGACUUGGCUUUGUUUGCAGAGUCAUGAGGAAGUGGCCAACCACCACUGUGACACUAAAGAACAAACAGAACUAUAAACAUUCUUGGGCUAAUGGAGUUCCUCCUGGGUUAGUGGGGCAAGAAGAACUGGUUUUGCUUGUUUGCUUAACUUAGAUAGUUUAGAUAAACAUUGUAGUUUGUCAUGAAGCUUGUCACAAAGAAUGCUUUUUCAAGAUAAUCGUUGGUGCACUGUGAGUUGACCCGGUUUACUAUAUAAGAACCCUGGAAUAAAGACUCGGCAUGCAGUUGCAAUUGCCGUGUCUCUCUGCUGUUUCUCUUCUUCGUGCUGCACCCCCCGUGUCCCGAUUUGGUGUGUGUGUGCCUCUUCCCGGGGUUCAGAGUGCUCUAGACACUCGCGACAAGUGGCACCCGAAUCAGGGACCCCGAUGGUUGCUUAGGAGAGUUCUGGAGGCUCAGUGCAGAUCCAAGGAUCCACACCUGGAGCUGUCCCUCCUGCUGGGAGUCCUCAGUGUACAGAGCAUCACUACGUGGGCGAUGGACUCCACCCUCGGAUAUGUGUGUUCUGGGGUCUGCCUGUCUGUCCUUAUGCAGCCGCCAGUCUUCAGUCACAGUGGCUCCAUCCUCAUGACCUUAUCUUACCUUACGAGCCUCCGGAAGUCUCCCCUCUAACCUCCACCAUCACAGCGAAUUUCCACCCUCUCAGUGCCCCCAGUGGGGGCAGAACUUUAACACCUGGACCAUUAGGAAGAUGUUCAAAUCCCAUGUUCAGUCCACAGCAGGUUCUAAGAUAGAGGUCUAAGACUUCAGACCUUUGCUGAUAAUUUUAGAAAAAUGUCUAUAGGACUUACUGUCCUGAGUGUGGUCUUCAAUAAAUAUUAGCUCUGUAGUGAA